GAUGAAGAACGUAGCGAAAUGCGAUAAGUAAUGUGAAUUGCAGAAUUCAGUGAAUCAUCGAAUCUUUGAACGCACCUUGCGCCCCUCGGUAUUCCGUGGGGCAUGCCUGUUCGAGCGUCAUUUAACCCCUCAAGCCUAGCUUGGUAUUGGGUGCUUGUCCCGCCUCUCGCGCGGCGACUCACCUCAAAGUCAUUGGCAGCCCGCAUCUCGCCGGCCGUGAGCGCAGCACAGACGCGCUCUUGGCAACGACGGAUCGGCUCUCCAAAAGCUUAUUUCAACCACUGACCUCGGAUCAGGUAGGGAUACCCGCUGAACUUAAGCAUAUCAAUAAGCGGAGGA
rnacentral:misc_RNA from 1 species